UACGUAGGGGGCAAGCGUUGUCCGGAUUUAUUGGGCGUAAAGAGCGUGUAGGCGGUUUGGUAGGUCCGCUGUGAAAACUCGAGGCUCAACCUCGAGACGCCGGUGGAAACCAUCAGACUAGAGUCCGGAAGAGGAGAGUGGAAUUCCCGGUGUAGCGGUGAAAUGCGCAGAUAUCGGGAAGAACACCCGUGGCGAAGGCGGCUCUCCGGGACGGUACUGACGCUGAGACGCGAAAGCGUGGGGAGCGAACAGG
rnacentral:rRNA from 1 species